UGCACAGACGGCAGUGCCAAACGACGCUCAUUAGACGAGCGCAGCGUCCUGGGUGUAACAUUUGUGUAACAAAUGUGUAACAUUAGUGUUGUGUGAGGCUUUGGGAUGCAGAGAAGUUGUCCAUGAGUGUGGUGGUGGUUAGCACAUCAAGUCUAAAUCCAAGAGAUCCAAGAAGAUCCUGCUAGAAUUAGUUGCUUCACAGUACAGCACCUUUGAGAGCAACUGUUCCAAUAUAUAGAAUAUAAUAAUAUAUAUAUACAAUAUAUUCCCUUUUAACUUCACAGUACAGCACCUUUGAGAGCAACUGUUCCAAUAUAUAUAAUAAUAUAUAUAUACAAUAUAUUCCCUUUUACACGGCAUGCGUGUGACCUGGACAUGGACGUCAUCGCCUGUGUGUCAAACUUAAGACUUAAGACCUCAUUUCAGUUUGCGUACGUACUGAAGUACUGUAUAUAUACUGUGUGUAGGGUUUUCUUUUUCCCGAACAUGGAACAUCUACAUAUACUAUAAUUUCCCUACCAAGUAGGCUAACACUAGUCAUGCGGUGUGGGAUUUGAGGUGUUAUUUUGUCAUUUUUUACUGAUCAUUUUGUUUUUGUUCUUGUUUUCUCUGCUCUCUGUAUACUUCUGCUGUCCCCUGCUUACUUCCUGUCCUAUUUCCUUCCUGUUGGUCAGCUCUGCUUCUUCAUGACUGUGGUGAAUUUGUGAAGACAGGCAGGGACAUCUACCGGAAGGUUCAGGGCCGAGAUAACCACGUCGCUUCCACCAUUAUCAACAUAGCAG